rnacentral:rRNA from 1 species
AGCUCCAAUAGCGUAUAUUAAAGUUGUUGCGGUUAAAAAGCUCGUAGUUGGAUUUCUGCGGUAGCAAGCCGGUCCACACUAUGUGUGAGUAUCUUGCUCGGCUACUGCAUCCUCUUGAGGAACGUGUUGCGCUUUACUGCGUGAUACGGUAUUCAAGACUUUUACUUUGAGGAAAUUAGAGUGUUCACGGCAGGCGUUUGCCCUGAAUAUAUUAGCAUGGAAUAAUGAUAUAGGAUCCACGUCCUAUUUUGUUGGUUUCUAGGACGAGGAUAAUGAUUAAUAGGGAUAAUUGGGGGCAUUCGUAUUAAGACGUCAGAGGUGGAAUUCUUGGAUUGUCUUACGACGAACUACUGCGAAAGCAUUUGCCAAGGAUGUUUUCA